rnacentral:rRNA from 1 species
UACGGGGGGGGCAAGCGUUGUUCGGAAUUACUGGGCGUAAAGGGCUCGUAGGCGGCCAACUAAGUCAGACGUGAAAUCCCUCGGCUUAACCGGGGAACUGCGUCUGAUACUGGAUGGCUUGAGUUUGGGAGAGGGAUGCGGAAUUCCAGGUGUAGCGGUGAAAUGCGUAGAUAUCUGGAGGAACACCGGUGGCGAAGGCGGCAUCCUGGACCAACACUGACGCUGAGUGAGCGAAAGCCAGGGGAGCAAAGCGGG